rnacentral:lncRNA from 1 species
AGAACCCCAACCCUAGAACGUGAAGUAUAGCUCCACAUAGACAUGGUAACAAAAUAACAAAUCAUACAAAGAAACGUAAAAAAUACUCAUUUUGGAAGAAGAGAAGAUGGAACUUGACGAAUUACGGCCUCCACGGCAGUUCUAUGGUUGUGUUUUCCUCUCCAAAGCGUCCUCCCUUCCCCAAAAUAGAUUUAGGACCCCUAUACAAAUUAGAAUCAUGUAGAUCCAAAAUAACCUUGCCACAGAUGAAUUAGAAAAACCCUCAUAAGGCGUAACAUAGCGUCUGCGCUGAACGCAGUAACAUUUUCACGUGUUU